rnacentral:rRNA from 1 species
GGAACGAACGUUAGCGGCGCGCCUAACACAUGCAAGUCGCACGAGAAAGGGCUUCGGCCCCGGUACAGUGGCGCACGGGUGAGUAACACGUAGAUCAUCUCCCCUCGAGUGGUGGAUAACUCUCCGAAAGGAGAGCUAAUACAGCAUGAGACCACGGCUUCGUUGAAGCUGCGGCCAAAGCAGGCCUCUACACGUAAGCUUGCGCUUGAGGAUGAGUCUGCGGCCCAUCAGCUAGUUGGUAGGGUAAUGGCCUACCAAGGCUAAGACGGGUAGCUGGUCUGAGAGGAUGAACAGCCACACUGGAACUGAGACACGGUCCAGACUCCUACGGGAGGCAGCAGUGGGGAAUCUUGCGCAAUGGCGAAAGCCUGACGCAGCGACGCCGCGUGAGCGAUGAAGGCCGUUCGGUUGUAAAGCGUCUGUGGGAGGAAAGGAAGUAAGGCUUGGACUAAUAUCCAAGCUGAUGACGGUACCUCCUUAGCAAGACCG